ACAAAAAUGUGUCUCUGGGUGGUUGCAUCGAUUCCUUAUCAUCAGCUGCAUGCUAAUGUGAAUCUGUGGAAUUGAGUCCUCCUCCAACAAGGGAGAGAAAAUGAUGUGUUGUGACAUACCCAGUUGUUCUAGGUCCUGAAUACCCAUGUAGCACCUAGCAUGGCUAUAUGAAGGGCAGGGCUUAUUUGGAUCUUGAAUUUACAUACCAGGUAUUAUGCCCAGGAGAAGGGACAGAGCUGUGAAGAGGAUGUAUCGAAGAUCUAAUCCCUCCCAGCAUGGCCAGAAGGCAUACCUGGGCCAGCAAUUUUUCAUCCAUUGACCACUACAUUGAAGAAAUGUUCCCAGAAGGGGGAACAUAGCAAUUACUAAAGGAAAAUGGACAAAAGAUCAAAGUUGGCAAAAGAAGGAGACGAGGCAAAUAAAAGAAUGAAGUCCUGGGAGAAGCCA
rnacentral:lncRNA from 13 species